CGAGGACGAACGCUGGCGGCGUGCCUAACACAUGCAAGUCGAACGGAGUCAGAAAGCUUGCUUUUGACUAGUGGCGGACGGGUGAGUAACGCGUGAGUAACCUGCCUCUGAGAGGGGAAUAACGUUCUGAAAAGAACGCUAAUACCGCAUAACGUAUCGAAGCCGCAUGACUUUGAUACCAAAGAUUUUAUCGCUCGGAGAUGGACUCGCGUCCGAUUAGUUAGUUGGUGAGGUAACGGCUCACCAAGACCGCGAUCGGUAGCCGGACUGAGAGGUUGAUCGGCCACAUUGGGACUGAGACACGGCCCAGACUCCUACGGGAGGCAGCAGUGGGGGAUAUUGCGCAAUGGGGGCAACCCUGACGCCAGCAACGCCGCGUGAAGGAUGAAGGUUUUCGGAUUGUAAACUUCUUUUAUCAGGGACGAAGCUUGACGGUACCUGAUGAAUAAGCUCCGGCUAACUACGUGCCAGCAGCCGC
rnacentral:rRNA from 1 species